GUGCUCCCUUCUGCAGCACAUAUACUAAAAUUGGAAUGAUACAGAGAAGAUCAGCAUGGCCCCUGUGCAAGGAUGCCACAUGCAAAUGCAUGCAGCAGUAUGUAUUUUU